GUUGAUUGUGGUAAUACGUUCUUAUUUGUGUUUAGCACAUUUUAUUUGAAUCUUCAGAUUUUUCUACCAGAAAGCUAAGAGUCUUAGUUCUCAAAUUUCUUCUCUCUUUAAAAUGUCUCUGUCAGCCAGAAAGCUAAGAAUCUUAGUUCUCAAAUUUAUUCUCUCUUUAAAAUGUCUUUGCCAGCUCAGAUGGGGAAAAGUUUAAUUCAAUUCAGUUGGUGACUCAGUUGGUGAUAAUGACGCAAUUCAAUGAAUUAUAGCUCUCUGCUCUUUCAUCUCACCCCAUCUCUAGUUUUGACAUUUCUUUUUAAAGCCUUUCUGUUAUCGAAGAACUCUGAAUGAAAAAUAGAGUUCUAAGUUUGGAAGGAAGUACACAGCAGUAAGACAGCAUUAAGAAGGAAUCUUUUCUUCCUUUAGAGAAGCAACCUUCUGGCCUAGUUUCAAACAUCAUACAUCUAUUGACAGCAUGUGUACAAGAACAAAAAAGUCCAAAUAUUUACAUCAUAGAUGCAUUUAUAUCAAGCAUGGGGAGAUCAUACACAUUAGUGCCAGAUAAAGAGGCCAAAAGGUACCUUGCCCCAAUUACUAGAGCCUAGAGAAAAUCUGGAUUCCAGAUCUGCCACCCAAAAGCUAUGUGACAUCAGACAAGUUAUCUUAAUUUCCCUGAGUCUCACUUUCCCCUUGCAUAAAAUGGGAUAAAAUAAUGCUCAUAAGGUGACUGUAAAGAGUAAAGGAUAUACUGUAGGUAAAAUGCUUAAUGAUAGAAAUUCACAAAAACUCUGUUUGAUGGUGGUUAUCAUCAUCAUCACGAAGUUAAUUCUCUUGCUCUUUUUUUUUUCCCAACACAAGUAACUCGUUCCUCAGAAGGACAUUUAAGUAGGAAAACUCCCUCUGUCCUGUCAGGACCUGGAGUGUGUAAUAAGCACAAGUAUUGAUAAUAUCAGUGCCAGAUCACUCUAAGCUCCAAGGUGAAUGAAAGUCUCUGCCAUUUCUGCUGACUCUCAAGUUUUGGGAGGGUGGAAGAGAGGCAAAGAUUAGCUUGGGUUCCCUCUCAGGCACUUAGAGAGAGAAUAUAAGAUUAAGUGGAACCAACUCUCCGUGUCUAAUAUUUUUUAAAUAAUAAUAAGGACAAGUAGAUGAGGCAGAUACGAAAGGUGAAGAUCAAGAUAUAAUAAAUAAAAGGAAUUUAAUAGUAAUAAUUAUUUUUUUGGUCUAAAAUUGAGAUCUCAGUUCAUAAGCUUGCAGGAAGCCCAACAGAACAGCUAAUAUCUAAAGAAGUUUAGAAAUUGAAUUAUUUCCCCUCCUAUGGAGAUGGUCUGCUGGAAAAAGCAAUUAAGCAUAUUAUUCGAUGAAUAAAGGACUUUUGUUUCCUGUGCUUGUAAUCAAAAUCUUUUCAUCAAAAUCUCAAGGAAGAAUGAAGAAUUUAAACUUCUUUUAGUAAAAAGAAUUGGUUCUCAUUAUUCCAUCAAGGAUGAUGGGAGAUUCUAGAAGUUCUAGGAAGAAGGUUGAAGGCAUUCAUUAUGAGUAAUAUUUUAUCAUUAUAUUCUAUGGUACAUAAUAAGUUCUGAGAUUAUGCAUUUUUGUAGUAUAGAUUACCAAAGCUCUAAGUUAAGUGUCUGUUUAAGGAGAGUAUAUGUGUUAAGAUUAGAAGCCUUUUGAACAGUGUUCCCCAAGUCCUCAAAUGUUUUUUUCCUCCCAAUCCAAUUAGGUAAAGUCGUUUCCCAUCUCAAUGUAUCUAGUCAGGUUUUAAAAGGUAGAUGCCAUAUUUUUUGAUGAACUAGGACCUUUGUUGUUUGUUCAACAGAUGUUCACUGCAUUCUGCCCCAAAUCCACAUUUCCAGCUUUAUCUCCCCCAAAUUCCCCACUGCAAAGCCUUUACUCCCACUAACCCAAUCUAUUUUCAGGCUCCAAUAUAUAAAACAAGUGUUUCUACUUCCAACUUUUUGCUAAGACCUGUUUCCUCUCCAAAGCCUCCUCUUCCUCUCCCUCUGCCUGUCCUUCAUGAUGUAUUUCAGACUGGUCAGUAUCCACUGAGUAAAUAGAGACUGGAGGUGUACAUGUGUGAGGCGCUCACAAGCAGUAGCACCAACAUAUGAACUCUUACUUAUUGAGCCCUUACUAUGUUCCAUGCAACAUCUCAUCUGAUGGUCACAACAAUUGGAUGAGAUUACAGACAUCUAGAAAACGUUUUUUUAUACCGAAGAUUUUGUCAUCUAACAUUGUCAGGAAGUAAUUAAGAGACAAUUUGGUCACUGAGUGUGAGAUAUUUUUUUAAAAGAACUCAUGAAUAACGCGCCACCCUUCAGCACUGUGACUGAGGCAUCUAUUUACCUAUCUGAGUAAAAGGAAUGAACGAACGGACAAAAGAAAACAAAAUAAUGAAUGAAACGUCAGAAUGAACGAAUCAACGAAUGCUUUCCCUCUUGCAGUCAGAUUUCAGGAGAUGGACAGGAUGCUGUCAACUAAAUCUUCGUAAAGUCUUGGUCAAUGGGCACUUGAGGAUUCUCAUAAUCUAGAGAUAAGCCUCCAAGGCACAGAGCGGCCAAGAAAAAAAUCCGUUUCUUAGCGACAGCGGCAGGCCCAGGAUUUGCAAACUCCAGUCAGGAUCCCUCCCAGGCCGCUCAGGCCGCCCUCUGAAGCGCUCUCGGCACUCCCGCCCCACCCCCCAGCCCAGCCGGGGUCGCCGCUUCCACCCGCGCGCCCUCUCAGGCUUUACGGGCGCCGGAAGUCUCCGAUCACAUGACCAGAAGCCCGCCGAGCUGCUGGAAUUUCUUCACAGACUUACCCCGGGAGGGCCCACGCCACCUCAGAAGCCAUGGUCCCCGCCGGCUUCUUUUCCCCCCCCCGUUUCGGCCGGGAGACGACCCACCUGAGUC